GGGGGGGGUUGAUUAUGGGGCUUUCUACUAUUAUCUUCGGACAUAAUGAAAGAAAGGGGAUGUCCUUAGUAGAAAGAUUCGAUCAGUAAACAGCUCUUUCCAGUUCAAGGAAAGAGGAGAUAUAGAGGAAUAAGCAGAUAGAGAGUUUGUUUGAGAGUUAUGAUUAAGAGACAAAAGAUGAGGAAAAUCCACCGUAAAAAUCGAAGCCAUCUCAAGAGGAACAUAAAAAAGUAGGGGGAAGAGGGAAGAGACGUUGGGUAGAAGCCCUAGUGCGAGGAGAGCGAAGAGGAACUAAGAUCCAACUACUCAAAGAGAGCAUAUACUCGGAGAACCUUUUAGGUUUUUUCUCUUCUCACACCACGUGUGAAGGCUUUCUAUCUAGAUCCUCUGAUGGCUAGAGGCUACAGACUAUUUUACAAAAGUUCUAGAUAUUUCACAUAGCGUGAGAGGAAUGAAAGAAGGAUUCAAAAUGAUAUCUCUAAUAUCUCUACCAUCUGCUUUAAAUUCUUAAGGUUAUUAAACUUAAAAUUGCCUCCUUGAAGAUGGAAGGAUACAUUAUUCAUCUUGUUGAUUAGCUACUUUGGUUUGCUGCUUGAAAUAUUCUUCUUGGGAAGUCUUGUGAGUUCCUUUAGCUGUUGUUUUCCCCAUUUUGUUCUAGCAGGUACUCCGGCUAUGCCCUAUUUUGUGGGGCAGCUCUCUCAAUUUUGAGUAUUUGAUGGGCUUUCGCUUCAUUUGAGGGAUGUUUUUUUUUUUUUUGACACAAUGAUGAAUGCCAGCUGUGCUACAGCAGUUCCCCAAGAAGGUCAUCGUGGCAACCAGCUGGCAUCUUGGAAGGCCCAAGUGGCAACCAGGGGGCUUUAUUGAACGUCCGUGUAAACCUGAAGUUUUUGUUAUUUUCGGGUAUUCUACGUCAUAAUUUUUUUGUAAUUCAGAUAACUUUUUUUUGGCCUACUCAUUUGUUCUCAUUUAUGUGUUUGAUUGAUCUUUACCCUAUUCUUUCACUGUCUUGGCCUCUCUUAUUUUGGAGUUGUAUUUUGAUUUAAAUUUUAAGGUUAUAAUUUUUUUAUUA